UGCGUAGGCGGAAUGAUAAGUUAGUGGUGAAAGCCCCCGGCUCAACCGGGGAACUGCCAUUAAUACUGUCAUUCUUGAGUAUAGUUGAAGUGGGCGGAAUGUAUCAUGUAGCGGUGAAAUGCUUAGAUAUGAUACAGAACUCCGAUAGCGUAGGCAGCUUGCUAAACUAUAACUGACGCUCAGGCACGAAAGCGUGGGGAGCAAACAGGAUUAGAUACCCUGGUAGUCC
rnacentral:rRNA from 1 species